rnacentral:rRNA from 1 species
UACGUAGGGUGCAAGCGUUGUCCGGAAUUAUUGGGCGUAAAGAGCUCGUAGGCGGUCUGUCGCGUCUGCUGUGAAAACUCAGGGCUUAACCCUGAGCUUGCAGUGGGUACGGGCAGGCUAGAGUGCGGUAGGGGAGACUGGAAUUCCUGGUGUAGCGGUGAAAUGCGCAGAUAUCAGGAGGAACACCGGUGGCGAAGGCGGGUCUCUGGGCCGUAACUGACGCUGAGGAGCGAAAGCGUGGGGAGCAAACAGG